GUUCUUAUCACCUGGGGAUCUUGUUAAAAAUACAGGUUCUGAUUUAAUAGUACAGGAAAGAAUCCAGGAUUCCUCAUUUCUAACCAGCUCCUGGUGAUGCCAAC
rnacentral:miRNA from 1 species